CGAGUGCCUCGAGCGUUAUCCGGAAUCAUUGGGCGUAAAGGGUGUGUAGGUGGUUAUGUUAGUCUCGCGUUAAAUUCUCCGGCUCAACCGGAGAGCUGCGUGGGAAACGGCAUGACUUGAGGAUGGUAGAGGUUUCUGGAACUCAUAGUGUAGCGGUGAAAUGCGUUGAUAUUAUGGGGAACACCAAAAGCGAAGGCAAGAAACUGGGCCACUCCUGACACUGAAACACGAAAGCGUGGGUCGCGAAUGGGAUUAGAUACCCCAGUAGUCCACGCCCUAAACGAUGAUCUCUAGAUUUGGGGAGUAUCGACCCUCUCCGAGUCGUAGCAAACGCGUUAAAAGAUCCGCCUGGGUAGUACGGCCGCAAGGUUG
rnacentral:rRNA from 1 species